UUCCAAGUCCCUACUAGAUAUUGCUGCUACUCCCAGGUCACUUUUUAGCAUGGGAAGGUGUAGUUCCAUUUUUAAACUAUGCUCUUAGGGCUCAAGGUGGGUAUUAAGUCAUGGUAGAGAUUCAGCAAUUCCUAAACGGGGUUCAAUGUUACAUUUGAAAGACAUGAAUUGCAACUAACACGUCUUCCAAACCUUUUCAGUAACCUGGCACAUGCUGUGUCCAAUGGACCCUGGAAGUCAUUUUACUUGGCUGACGAGGGAGCAUCUCCCCAGCAUCAGAGCAACAGCUGUGGGGUGUUUAUGCUGAUGGUGAGAUGCAAUAUUUUCAGAAGUGAUAACUGAUUACUAGUUUGCAGAACAACUAACACAUUUGUAUGUUCAUUUCACUAUGCAAUGUAUUCUACCCUCCAAAAGCCAUAUGAUUUCAUUGAGGUGGACAUGCUCUCUAUCAGGAGGUGGUGGUGUGGGCAACUGCUGGAGACCUUUACGCUUGAAAGCCCUGCAAGACUAGCUGACACACCCAUCUCACCCUCUCCAUCUCCCCAUAUAAGCCA